rnacentral:rRNA from 1 species
UACGUAGGGUGCAAGCGUUGUCCGGAAUUAUUGGGCGUAAAGAGCUCGUAGGCGGUUUGUCGCGUCUGCUGUGAAAACCCGAGGCUCAACCUCGGGCCUGCAGUGGGUACGGGCAAACUAGAGUGCGGUAGGGGAGAUUGGAACUCCUGGUGUAGCGGUGGAAUGCGCAGAUAUCAGGAAGAACACCGAUGGCGAAGGCAGAUCUCUGGGCCGUAACUGACGCUGAGGAGCGAAAGCAUGGGGAGCGAAC